rnacentral:lncRNA from 1 species
UUGCUUUGGAGAAAGGAGAGAGAACCAAAGAUAAGAGGCUGCCAAUCGAUUAACCUAAGGUAAGGGUGGGACUAACAUUCAAUCUUCUUAAGCCUAUGAUUUUGAUAAUUAGAUUUAAAUGUUGUAGGUUAUAGUUUUUGAGAAUUUGAGAAUUAGGAUUAGAAGUUGUAAAUUGUUGAUAAGAUGAUAGAAACCUGUUGGAUUGAUGUAGAACGUGUUUGAUUGUAUAAUUAAAUUGACUUUGUUAUAUUUUCUUUCGAGUGAAUUUACAAUUCGGGAGAGAUACUGCAUAGAAAUAUUAUAAAAAUCCUUAUUUUGAUAAAUUAAUUUGAGGUAUCUAAUUUUGACUAUGGUUCAGAAGUCUCCGAAACCAAUGCUUUUCUUAUCUCUAUUUGAAUAUGUGUUUUGUGGUAUCUAGUUUGACAGAAGAUUAAUUUUAACUAACAGUAGCAUGAUGCUAUUACCUAUUGAAAGAAAUAUACUACUUAAGAAGCUAAUGAUCCAAAACGAGAUGCCAUCCAAAAGGUUUGGAACAUACACACUCUUUUGAUUAGGUAUAGCUUUGAAUGAAAAUUGUUUCUUUAAAUUGCCAAUGAUCUUGCAUUUCGAUGAGCCUCAAUUCAAUUAUUGUUGAACUUGAUUCAAAAUAGUCUGAUGCAAUAUUAUGAGUACAUAUGUUCACUAGUUUAGGAUUACUAUUACUAUUAUUAUAAUAAAUUGAAUUUUAAGACAGCUUCUAAAUUCAAUUAGUCUUGCUUCAAAAUGUUUACAUACUAAUUGGCAUCUUUAUCCUGCCCUUGUUAAUUGGCUCACGAUAUCAUACUAUUAUUUUGUGAAAGAAUUCUAGUUCUAUUUUUACUAUAUGUUUUUCAUAAUUUUUCUUGACGUGUAAAUAAUUUAUAUGAAUUAUAUGAAUGUAUGAUUGUUGAAGUUGAUGGUGAUUGUCAUUUGAUAUUGUUAUAUCAUGAGCUGUUUUAUGUGCUGCCUAUGUUGCUGUUUGAUAUUAAUUAAGCUGCAUGUGUUGGUCUAAUUUGUAAAAUUGUAAGUUGUCUUUCCAAAGUAUUGGAAUCUUAAGUUGUUAAUGUUGUCUAAGUUGUUGAAGUCAGAGUUGAAGGUGUUGUUGGUGACUGUUUAUGUUCAGGUGUUUUGUGAGAGGUGGUGUACUCUUACGUUGUUGUUCUAUAAAAGGUGGUGUACUCUUAUGUUGUUGUUCUAUAAAAGGUGGUGUACUCUUAUGUUGUUGUCCUAUAAGAGGUGGUGUACUCUUACGUUGUGGUUUAUAAGAGGAGGUGUACUCUUACGUUGUUAUUCUUUUAGAGGUGGUGUACUCUUAGUUGUCGUUUAUAAGAGGUGGUUUACUCUUACGUUGUUAUUCUUUAAGAGGUGGUGUACUCUUAGUUGUCGUUUAUAAUAGGUAGUGUACUCUUACGUUGUUAUUCUUUAAGAGGUGAUGUAUUCUUACGUUGUUAUAUUAUAAGAGGUGGUGUACUCUCAUGUAGCUGUGUUGUCAGGUUGACGUUGUCGUCGUCGAAUCGUUGAAGUUGUUGUUGAUGACAAACCAUGGAAUAUUAAUGAUUAUGUUGUGUUUAUAUUAUUAUAAGAUGAUGAAUAUGUUGUUGCUUAUGUUAUUAUAAGAUGAUGAUUGUAUUGUUGUUUAUAUUUGUUAUGAGUUAAUGAUGAUUAGAAGUGAAUUGGACUAUUAAUGAAAUACUAUAUGAAGAAUUGUUAUUAUUAAUUAAUAAUGUUUAUGUUGCUAAAUUUAAUUGUUGAAUUAUAUGCUUAAUAUUAUUGUUUGUGAAAUCUCACCCCUUCUGCUUGAAAAUGUUGCUCUUCGUAUGAGUAACUUGCAGGUGAUCAAGAGUAGGUUGCUGUGUUUUUGAUGUUGUGAGUGGCUAUCCCUCACCGAGUCGUUUAGGUGCUCUGAUACGUAACGGGAUGGGAACUUUGUUGCAUGCUUCUCUAUUCCUUACGUAUUGUUUAUAUAUUUACAUGAUUAAGUUGUUAAUUGGAUUUUUAUGGGAUGUAUUGAUGAGGCCUUUGUGCCAAGACUUUUUAUGUUAAUGAAUUUAAUCCGCUGCAAAGUUUGAAUUAAUUUGUUGAAGGAUAAAUUAGUUAA